GACGUAGGGUGCGAGCGUUGUCCGGAUUUAUUGGGCGUAAAGAGCUCGUAGGCGGCUCGUCGCGUCGAUCGUGAAAUCCCGUGGCUUAACUGCGGGUCUGCGGUUGAUACGGGCGGGCUGGAGUUCGGUAGGGGAGACUGGAAUUCCUGGUGUAGCGGUGAAAUGCGCAGAUAUCAGGAGGAACACCGGUGGCGAAGGCGGGUCUCUGGGCCGAUACUGACGCUGGAGGAGC
rnacentral:rRNA from 1 species